rnacentral:misc_RNA from 2 species
AACGCACAUUGCGCCCUAUGGUAUUCCGUAGGGCAUGCCUGUUCGAGCGUCAUUCAAACCUUCAAGCUCUGCUUGGUGUUGGGCGUCUGUCCUGCCUCACGGCGCGGACUCGCCUCAAAUCUAUUGGCGGCCGGCACGUUGGCUUCGAGCGCAGCAGAAACGCGAACUCGGGCCCGACGGAUCGGCUCCCAGAAGCUACCCCCAUGAAUUUGACCUCGGAUCAGGUAGGGAUACCCGCUGAACUUAA